GUAGGGAAUAUUAGAAAUGGACGAAAGUCUGAUCUAGCAACACCGCGUGUGCGAUGAAGGCCUUCGGGUCGUAAAGCACUUUUUGGAAGGAAUAGGAAGGAAUGUACUUCCAGAAUAAGUCUCGGCUAACUACGUGCCAGCAGCCGCGGUAACACGUAGGAGGCAAACGUUAUCCGGAUUUACUGGGCGUAAAGCGCGUGUAGGUGGUACUGUAAGUAGGGCGUGAAAGCUCCUGGCUCAACUGGGAGAGGCCGUUCUAAACUACAGAACUAGAGGAUGGUAGAGGGAGGUGGAAUUCCAGGUGUAGCGGUGGAAUGCGCAGAUAUCUGGAGGAACACCGGUGGCGAAGGCGGCCUCCUGGACCAUUCCUGACACUCAGACGCGAAAGCUAGGGUAGCAAACGGGAUUAGAAACCCUUGUAGUCC
rnacentral:rRNA from 1 species